CUCGCUCUGUUACCCAGACUGGAGUGCAGUGGCGCGAUCACAGCUCACUGCAACCUCAACCUCACGAGCUCAAGCAAUCCUUCCAUCUCAGCGUCCUGAGUAGCUGGGACUACAGGUACACACCACCAUGUCCAGAAAACUGUCAUGUCAAAGAGGCCUGCAUGGUAAGGAAUGGUAAGGAGAGCCAACAAGGAAAUGAAUCCUGCCAACAACCUCAUCAGCUUGGAAGCAGAUUCUUCCCCAGUUGAGCCUUCAUACAAGACCCCAGAUCUGGCAGACACUUUGAUUGCAGUCUUAGGAGACAUCCUGAAGCGGAGGACCCAGACAGGCUGUGCUUGGAUCUCAGUCCACAGAAACUGUGAGAUAA
rnacentral:lncRNA from 10 species